UCUUCCCAAACAGGUUAAGAUUGGGGUAGAUGUUGCUUCUAGGUGCUCCCCAAAUGCCUUUUGCCUACAUUUACUGUAGCCCUGUAGAUUCUGGGUUGAAGCUGCCUAUUGUUUCCUGAGUCUCCAACUAAUGUGCAUGCUCCUUUGGGCCAUGACUUAACCUUGUUCACUCUUGUCUACCCAGUAGUUAGCAUAACGCCUGGCACACAGAAAAUGCACAGGAAGGCUCUAAUGAUUUGUACAAGAUUACAUGGCUAAUGGGUGGCAGAUCUGGGUUGAAAACCAGAUCUGUCUGCCAGUGGGGCAUUUAUUUCCCACUGUGCUGAGAAAGAAAUCUGCCCUUCAGAUACACACUCAUCCAAACACAGUUUUUAAAAUCCAGUCUCAAGGGUAUUCACAUGGUACACAUUGACACUCUGUUAAAGACAGACCCACAAUGAAAGUAAAUUAUUAGAAAUUCUUCCACUGAAGUGUGACAAAAGCUGGCACCACAUGUGGUGUUUAUACCGCAGGGCGGCUUUGGCCCAGGAAUGGGCCCCAGUGUGAUUCUCAUGCAAUGGAACAAUAAUAAUAGCUCUGAACCAGCCAUUUGGAAUGAAUAGAUCACGGAUGAGCUGCACAAAUGCAUCUUGCUCCUACCUAACAAUGUUAUUUCAUAGAACGCAUCCAAAAUACGGUGAGUGGUUCAACUACGUGAUUUGUGGGUUUUUAAAAUGCAUUUUAACUCUUUUCACUUUAGUUAAGUGCAUUUUAACUUAAUUUUCAUUAUGUGUUAUAGUUUAUAAUGUAAUUAAGUGAUGGGACAAUGGGUCUUUCAGUUUGAGCUCCACUAAUGAAUUAUGCAAGAGUCUCUAAGUGUUUUUUUUCUUUUUGAUCAUUUUGAUGUUCAACUUUUAGAUUGUGGUGGCAUUACAGACCGCUGCAGCUGGGCGAAGAAGAAAAGAGAACUCAACAAUGGUCGCCACAGCUGUGCAGAACGUUUGAUACUCUCGUCAACAGCUCCUGCAGCUGGGCCGAAUGCAUUUUACAUCCUCUUUGGCAGCAUACGCGUCUACUUGGGGGCCCCCACCACAGCCUUCCUUUGA
rnacentral:lncRNA from 1 species